rnacentral:rRNA from 1 species
GUCAAAUCAUCAUGCCCCUUAUGUCCUGGGCUUCACACGUACUACAAUGGCCGGUAAACAACGAGACGCAAUGCCGCGAGGCGGAGCAAAUCUCAAAAAACGGUCUCAGUUCGGAUUGCAGGCUGCAACCCGCCUGCAUGAAGUUGGAAUUGCUAGUAAUCGCGGAUCAGCAUGCCGCGGUGAAUACGUUCCCGGGUCUU